rnacentral:rRNA from 1 species
GCAGUCGAGAAUCUUGGGCAAUGCGCGAAAGCGUGACCCAGCAAUGCCGCGUGUGUGAUGAAGGCCUUCGGGUCGUAAAGCACUGUCUCCCGUGACGAAAUUUGACGGUAGCGGGGAAGGAAGCCACGGCUAACUACGUGCCAGCAGCCGCGGUAAUACGUAGGUGGCGAGCGUUGUUCGGAUUUAUUGGGCGUAAAGGGUCUGUAGGAGGUUCGUUAAAUACGAGGUGAAAUCCCGAAGCUCAACUUCGGAACUGCCUUGUAGACUGACGGACUAGAGUACCGGAGAGGUAAGCGGAAUACCAGGUGUAGCGGUGGAAUGCGUAGAUAUCUGGUAGAACACCAAUAGCGAAGGCAGCUUGCUGGACGGAAACUGACUCUGAAAGACGAAAGCAUGGGGAGCAAACAGGAUUAGAUACCCUGGUAGUCCAUGCCGUAAACGUUGUCAACUUGAUGUGGGGGGAUUUAGUCCUCUCCGUAUCGAAGCUAACGCGAUAAGUUGACCGCCUGGGGACUACGGCCGCAAGGCUAAAACUCAAAGGAAUUGACGGGGGCCCGCACAAGCGGUGGAGCAUGUGGCUUAAUUCGAGGCAACGCGAAGAACCUUACCUGGUCUUGAAAUAUAUCGGACCGCCUGUGAAAGCAGGCUUCCCUUCGGGGCUGAUAUACAGGUGCUGCAUGGCUGUCGUCAGCUCGUGCCGUGAGGUGUUCGGUUAAGUCCGGCAACGAGCGCAACCCGUGUCACUAGUUGCCAUCAAGUAAUGUUGGGGACUCUAGUGAGACUGCCUGUGUUAAGCAGGAGGAAGGCGCGGAUGACGUCAAGUCAGUAUGGCCCUUACGACCAGGGCUGCACACGUGCUACAAUGGGGGGUACAAUGGGAUGCAAUGUCGCGAGGCGGAGCAAAUCCACAAAACCUCUCUUAGUUCAGAUUGCAGUCUGCAACUCGACUGCAUGAAGUUGGAAUCGCUAGUAAAGGCGUAUCAGCUACGACGCCUUGAAUACGUUCCCGGGCCUUGUACACACCGCCCGUCACAUCAUGGGAGUUGACUGCACCCGAAAUCGGUGAUCUAACCUGCAAAGGAAGAAGCCGCCUAAGGUGUGGUCGAUGACUGGGAUGAAGUCGUAACAAGGUAGCCGUAGGGGAACCUGCGGCUG